AAGUCGUAACAAGGUAUCCGUAGGUGAACCUGCGGAUGGAUCAUUAACGUGAUUUAACAAAAAUUGAAGGUGGUGAUUGCGCUGCCGGCUUGGCGGAUGUGGUUUCCCUGCUUAAUCACAUACUCUUAUUAUUUACUUUGAAUGUUUAUCAAGUCGAAAGACUUUUAAAUCAAUACAACUUUUAACAACGGAUCUCUUGGCUCUC
rnacentral:misc_RNA from 1 species